rnacentral:rRNA from 1 species
UACGUAGGGUGCAAGCGUUAAUCGGAAUUACUGGGCGUAAAGCGUGCGCAGGCGGUUUUGUAAGUCUGUCGUGAAAGCCCCGGGCUCAACCUGGGAAUGGCAAUGGAGACUGCAAGGCUAGAGUUUGGCAGAGGGGGGUAGAAUUCCACGUGUAGCAGUGAAAUGCGUAGAGAUGUGGAGGAACACCGAUGGCGAAGGCAGCCCCCUGGGUCAAGACUGACGCUCAUGCACGAAAGCGUGGGGAGCAAACAGG